rnacentral:lncRNA from 1 species
CUCUCUCUCUCUCUCUCUCUCUCUCAACAAUCUCACACAUACACACUCUGUCUCUCUCUCUCUCUACAUCGCACAUGGAACCAGACGAACAGCCGGAGGCUCUGUCCACGUGCCCUAGCUUCAACAGCUACUCUUCCGACGUGUUCGUCCUUAUCGCUGACAAAGACACCGAAGAGUCCAUUCCAGACGCCAAAUUAAUCGCCUCGAAGGACCUCGAUGAGGACGACGAUUUCGAAUUCGAUUUGGUAAGCGGUGAGGAGGUCUUGUGUGACGGGAGAAUUCGAGAGAUUUUUCCGGUUUUCAAUCGUGAUCUGCUGAUGCGUGAGGAUCGGAGUGGGGAUGGGAAGCCUGAUGUUUCGAAUCUGCGACUUUCGCUGAAGAAUUUGUUCAUGGGGGCGAGAGAGGACCGCGAUCCGCCGUCGUCGUCGUCGUCAUCGGAAGUAGAUGAAUUUGAAAGUAUACCUGAUGGAACGUACUGCGUUUGGAGGCCGAAAUUGGUGGAUGCCUCGCCGAGCAGAUGCAAGAAGAGCAAGUCGACCGGAUCAGCGUCGAAGCGGUGGAGGAUCCGAGAUUUUCUCCGGAGGAGCAACAGCGACGGGAAGGACUCGCUCGUGUUGCUGACUCCGAAGAACAAAGACCCAAAACCUGCCAACAGCGACGGGAAGGAUUCGCUUGUAAUGCUGACUCCGAAGAACAAAGACCCAAAACCAGCCAAGAUCCAUGAAAUUGAAAACACGAACGAGAGGCGAAUCUCUGUCGACGCCGGUGCCGGAAAGGCGAAGACGAAGGCAGCCGGCGAGAAGGUGUCGGCGUCGGCUCACGAAGUGUUCUACGUUCGGAAUCGAACGAUGAAGGAAGGCGAUAAGAGGAAAUCGUAUCUUCCGUACCGGCAAGACCUUGUAGGGUUUUUUGCGAAGGUCAACACAGUGGGGAAAACCUUCCCUCCGUUUUGAUUGUCUCCAUUUUUGCUAUGUUCUUUCAUUUCCUACAAAGUAUACAUGCAGAUACAUAAUAUAUACGAGCUCUGUUUUUUCGUUUUUCACUCAUUUUCAUUAAAUUCUUUUUGUUCUAAAUGAUGAUAUUAAAGUGUUGGUAAUGAUAAUUGAUGUUAAUAGAUGAUUCAUUGUGUCAAAAUGAACUUUUCUGCCUCUUUUUGGCUCAGAGGGUGUCUAUCCGUAUUUGUACAAGUGUAUUGACCUUAGCAUAUAAGGCUAGAGGAUGAGGAACUACUCUAUAAAUGUAUUUUUCAAACGAGGGUGAGAGAAAGAAAAUCGAGGAUAGACACUUGCGGUCGUUCUGUGGUGGUGCAAGUUGCUGUAGUCGGUCAUCAGUUAGCAAUGUAUGUAAUUGCGAAAAAAAGAAACAGUAAGAACGGCUGCCGGGACUAUUUCCGAGAAACGACUCUCCGAUGGUCAAGUUAAAUGAUUGAAAAGUGUAUGUAGAGAGAGAUAUUGUGUAUUUCUCCGCCCAAAGUUCGAGUACCUUUUAGAGAUAUAAAUACUAAAUUUAUAUGGCACGGCUCGACGCGUGCCCUUGACGUCCUAACUGUCUUGUCAUUGAACAUACUGCAGAUCGACGCAUGUUUGUACGUGCCGACCGUUGGGUCAGCCUAUGCCAGUGAGUAAGUGGUUGACCAACCACGCUCUUAAGGCCUAACUGGUAGCUUAUCAUCACGCUGCCGACGUUCCCAUUUGGGUAUGGGGGCUAUUAGAAGAAACUUCGACGUAUAAGUUACCUUCUGUGUUUUUUACAUCCCUCGGGAUUGUUGUCGGUCGUUACCCCUCGUCCAAGCUAUAGCACGAUUAUUCUUUCGAAUUUGCUAAACAGUGACAGCUCAAAAGUAACGAUGGCCUUAGCUCGGAUAAUGCCUGUGUUCGGUAGUAUCUGCACCGAGCUCUAACGCAGAAGACCGCCGAGCUUGUUCCAUAGAGACAACUCGGUGGAGACCUCUGCCCUAGCAAAGUUAGAGUCUGUUAUUGUAUAUUUUGUCCCCUUACAAAGGGUUUGGUUAAAUAUUGGACAUUACAACGAAUGGUAUUCUUUUAGGUAAUUCACCCGCUUCGUUGAUCUGAGCCAUUUACAUUUUAG